rnacentral:rRNA from 1 species
CUAAGUUUGAUGGCGACCGGCGCACGGGUGAGUAACACGUAUCCAACCUGCCGAUGACUCGGGGAUAGCCUUUCGAAAGAAAGAUUAAUACCCGAUGGCAUAGUUCUUCCGCAUGGUAGAACUAUUAAAGAAUUUCGGUCAUCGAUGGGGAUGCGUUCCAUUAGGCAGUUGGUGGGGUAACGGCCCACCAAACCUUCGAUGGAUAGGGGUUCUGAGAGGAAGGUCCCCCACAUUGGAACUGAGACACGGUCCAAACUCCUACGGGAGGCAGCAUG